UCAAGUAAGAUCACCCGCUGAACUUAAGCAUAUCAGUAAGCGGAGGAAAAGAAACUAACUAGGAUUGCCCCAGUAGCGGCGAGUGAACAGGCAAAAGCUCAAAGUGAAAAUCCGUUGCAUAAAGUAAUGGAAUUGUAAUCUAGAGAGGUGUUCGGAGGUGAUCGGGCGUGGAAUAAGUUCCUUGGAACAGGACGUCAUAGAGGGUGAUAACCCCGUAGUCGUCUACGUCACGGACCCAACGAGCAUUUUCGAAGAGUCGGGUUGUUUGGGAUUGCAGCCCUAAAUGGGAGAUAAACUUCUUCUAAAGCUAAAUAUUUAUGGGAAACCGAUAGCGAACAAGUACUGCGAAGGAAAGGUGAAAAGAACUUUGAAAAGAGGGUUAAAAGACUUGAAAUCGUUGAGAAGAAAGUGGUAGAAGAGUAAUCAUUUGUGUACGAUAUUCGGGUUGCUUGGAGGAUUGGUAAGGCUUUAGUACUUCAUAGGCUGUGCUUUGCUAAAUCUGACUCGCUGCUUGUUAUUCGUAUGCAAGAGGCAAAAUGAGGUUAGUCGUCAGGAGUCGUCUAUUUAGAAGACCCUCGUGCUUGCAUGGGGAGCUAGGUAGAAAAACUGAAGACUAGUCUGAGGGGCCUGCGGGCGAUUUUGCCAAAGUGGCUUCUACUGUCCCGUCUUGAAACACGGACCAAGGAGUCUAUCCAGUAUGCGAGUGUUAGGGUGGAAAAACCCGAACGCAUAAGGAAACUGAGGAUAAGCUGUUAACAGCAGCAGCCGAACCUGCAUCUUUGAUAACGGUAUCGAGCAAGAGCAUAUUUGAUAGGACCCGAAAGAUGGUGAACUUCGCUUGAGUAGGGUGAAGCCAGGGGAAACUCUGGUGAAAGCUCGAAGCGGUACUGACGUGCAAAUCGUUCGUCAAACUUGAGUGAAGGGGCGAAAGACUAAUCGAACCAUCUAGUAGCUGGUUCCCUCUGAAGUUUCUCUCAGGAUAGCUGGAACAAAAACGCAGUUUUAUUAGGUAAAGCGAAUGAUUAGAGGAAUCGGAGUUCAAAGAAUUUUGACCUAUUCUCAAACUUUAAAUUGGUAAGAACCGGGGGUUGACUUAAGUGAACCUUUGGGCAGAAUGCUUGUUCCAUGUGGGCCAUUUUUGGUAAGCAGAACUGGCGAUGAGGGAUGAACCUAACGCUUAGAUAAGGUGCCUAAAUCUGCAUUCAUGAGAUCCCACAAAAGGUGUUGGUUCAUUUAGACAGCAGGACGGUGGCCAUGGAAGUCUGAAUCCGCUAAGGACUGUGUAACAACUCACCUGCCGAAUGAACUAGCCCUGAAAAUGGAUGGCGCUGAAGUGCAGUACCGAUACUAAGCCAUUGCAGCAAAUUCGAAGCUGCGAUGAGUAAGAGGGCGUGUCCGUCACGUGUAGAAGCCUUUGGUGUGAACCUGGGUGGAACGGCGGAUAGUGCAGAUCUUGGUGGUAGUAGCAAUUAUUCAAACGAAAUCUUUGAAGACUGAAGUGGAGAAGGGUUCCAUGUGAACAGCAGUUGGACAUGGGUUAGUCGUUCCUAAGAGACAAGGAUGUUCCGCACACGCAGGCUUUGCCUCGUCUCUUGAAAGGGAAUGGGGUUAAUAUUCCCCAACCAGGACGUGGAUACUGUAUGGCAACGUAAGAGAAUUCGGUGACGCAGGAGGGAGCCUUGGGAAGCGUUGUCUUUUCUUUUUAACCGUCUCUUACC
rnacentral:rRNA from 14 species